CUUUUACAAUGAAGAGUUUGAUCCUGGCUCAGGAUGAACGCUAGCUACAGGCUUAACACAUGCAAGUCGAGGGGCAUCAGGAAGAAAGCUUGCUUUCUUUGCUGGCGACCGGCGCACGGGUGAGUAACACGUAUCCAACCUGCCCUUUACUCGGGGAUAGCCUUUCGAAAGAAAGAUUAAUACCCGAUAGCAUAAUGAUUCCGCAUGGUUUCAUUAUUAAAGGAUUCCGGUAAAGGAUGGGGAUGCGUUCCAUUAGGUUGUUGGUGAGGUAACGGCCCACCAAGCCUUCGAUGGAUAGGGGUUCUGAGAGGAAGGUCCCCCACAUUGGAACUGAGACACGGUCCAAACUCCUACGGGAGGCAGCAGUGAGGAAUAUUGGUCAAUGGGCGCUAGCCUGAACCAGCCAAGUAGCGUGAAGGAUGAAGGCUCUAUGGGUCGUAAACUUCUUUUAUAUAAGAAUAAAGUGCAGUAUGUAUACUGUUUUGUAUGUAUUAUAUGAAUAAGGAUCGGCUAACUCCGUGCCAGCAGCCGCGGUAAUACGGAGGAUCCGAGCGUUAUCCGGAUUUAUUGGGUUUAAAGGGAGCGUAGGUGGACUGGUAAGUCAGUUGUGAAAGUUUGCGGCUCAACCGUAAAAUUGCAGUUGAUACUGUCAGUCUUGAGUACAGUAGAGGUGGGCGGAAUUCGUGGUGUAGCGGUGAAAUGCUUAGAUAUCACGAAGAACUCCGAUUGCGAAGGCAGCUCACUGGACUGCAACUGACACUGAUGCUCGAAAGUGUGGGUAUCAAACAGGAUUAGAUACCCUGGUAGUCCACACAGUAAACGAUGAAUACUCGCUGUUUGCGAUAUACAGUAAGCGGCCAAGCGAAAGCAUUAAGUAUUCCACCUGGGGAGUACGCCGGCAACGGUGAAACUCAAAGGAAUUGACGGGGGCCCGCACAAGCGGAGGAACAUGUGGUUUAAUUCGAUGAUACGCGAGGAACCUUACCCGGGCUUAAAUUGCAGUGGAAUGAUGUGGAAACAUGUCAGUGAGCAAUCACCGCUGUGAAGGUGCUGCAUGGUUGUCGUCAGCUCGUGCCGUGAGGUGUCGGCUUAAGUGCCAUAACGAGCGCAACCCUUAUCUUUAGUUACUAACAGGUUAUGCUGAGGACUCUAGAGAGACUGCCGUCGUAAGAUGUGAGGAAGGUGGGGAUGACGUCAAAUCAGCACGGCCCUUACGUCCGGGGCUACACACGUGUUACAAUGGGGGGUACAGAAGGCAGCUAGCGGGUGACCGUAUGCUAAUCCCAAAAGCCUCUCUCAGUUCGGAUCGAAGUCUGCAACCCGACUUCGUGAAGCUGGAUUCGCUAGUAAUCGCGCAUCAGCCACGGCGCGGUGAAUACGUUCCCGGGCCUUGUACACACCGCCCGUCAAGCCAUGGGAGCCGGGGGUACCUGAAGUACGUAACCGCAAGGAUCGUCCUAGGGUAAAACUGGUGACUGGGGCUAAGUCGUAACAAGGUAGCCGUACCGGAAGGUGCGGCUGGAACACCUCCUUUCU
rnacentral:rRNA from 1 species